CGCAGCGGAGACGUGAUUGAUCGACU
rnacentral:piRNA from 1 species